GCCUACGCCUAUACCACCCUGAAUGCACCCUGAAUGCACCCCUUCUCAUCUGAUCUCAGAAGCUAAGCAGGGUCAGGCCUGGCUAGUAUUUGGAUGGGAGACCUCCUGAGCAUCCUGGGUGCUAUAGACU
rnacentral:rRNA from 1 species